UAAGUUCUGCUUAUGCAGCUGCCGUUUUAACGGACGUUUUUAACGGCACUAUGAAGACAUUAAUGUUUAGAAAUCGUUCGGAUAUCUUUUGAGGAAUAUGCAUAUAGACGCUGCUUUCAUCUCUCUAUGGAUUCUUAUUAUAAAUGGUGUGUUUGAUGUUAAAACCGAUGAAGUAAAGUCAGUAUCGGUGAUGAAUGGAGAAUCUGUCACUCUACACACUGAUGUUAAAGUACAGAGAGAUGAUAUGAUACUGUGGACGUUUGGACCUCAAAACACUCGAAUAGCUGAAAUAAUUAAAAGGGACCAAAUAAACUUUAUUUUUGUCAGUAAUGAUGGGAGAUUUAGAGACAAACUUCAGUUGGACAAUCAAACUGGAUCUCUGACCAUGAGAAACAUCAGAUCUGAACACAAUGGACUUUAUAAACUAACCGUCAUCGUCAAUGGAGUAACGUCACUGAAGAGCUUCAGUGUUACUGUGUAUGCUCCUCUUCACAUUCCUGUCAUCACCAGUAAUUCUUCAAACUGUUAUUCAUUAUCUGAAAGAUCAUCCAUGUCCAGAUGUGUACUGCUGUGUUCAGUGUUGAAUGUGAGUCAUGUGACUCUCUCCUGGUACAACGCAAACAGUUUAUUGUCCAGCAUCAGUGUGUCUGAUCUCAGCAUCAGUCUCUCUCUACCUCUGGAGGUGGAAUAUCAGGAUAACAACACCUACAGCUGUGUGAUCAACAAUCCCAUCAGCAACCAGACCAAACAUCUGGACAUCACUCAACUCUGUCAGUCAUGUGCAGAACAUAAUAAACACCGUUCCUAUUCCAUACCAAUUGGUAUACUGUUGUUGGUGGCCAUCAUUGCAGUUUUGGGAGGGAUUUUGUUGUGGUACUUCAAGAACCAUAAACAAGCACCACAAACUGAAACCUGCUAGAGAAGAUAACACGGUGUACACAACACCCAUGGAGCAAAAUUUGCAAUAUUUGUAAAUGUCUUUAAAUACAAAUGUAAUACGAAUGUAUUGUUUUUUCAUUAUUUAUUUCCACACUGCCAUUUCAUUAUUAUUUUCAUUGUUAUAUAGUUUUCAAAGACCCUUACUGACAGAUAACAGGACAUGAAGCCAUGUUUUAGGGACUUCCGGUACUCUUAAAAAGGCAGGAACUUUAGGUGGGAACAUGUACAGACAGGUAUCGCUGCAGCCAGUUCUGAGUGGGUGGAGCAGCUCCAAAUGGGUGGAACUAUAAAGCCACAUGGGUUGUACUAAAGGCCAUACCUAACCUCACCUGUAAAUUUUACCCCACUAAAUUGAGGGUCUCCAUUUACAUGUGCCAAAGGCCCCUUCCACUUGGAGGUACCCAGGCUGUAGCAACAUGUACUUGGCAUUCUCUGGCAGGCACAUGCUUUUUAUGCUGGGAACUGUAUCGAAUAUUUAUGUGAAACUCACAGUAUUAUGUUUUACAUAUU